rnacentral:lncRNA from 1 species
CCAGGUAGAAAGACCAAAAGGAAAAUUAAGAACAGACUCUCAGACCUGCCUUCCCUUUGCAUUCAGAUUGUCUACUUCCCCUCCUAGACUGUACUCUCCACAAGAGAGCAAAGCUGUGUCUGUUGCAUUCACUGUUGUCUUCCCAGAAGCAAGCAGCAUGCUGGAGACCCUCAAAUACAUGUGAAAUGAAGGGACACCUUGUGUUAUUUCACCUGUUUCCACCUGGUUCCCAAGUGGCAAGCUUGCAUUGAGGUUACAAAGUGGCAAAGCUGGGAUAUCACAUGAUGUCACCAUGAUGCUAUAUGAAAUGUAACAUUAAUUGAGUACCUAUGUGACCAGUUCUUUAAUUCUGUAAGUGAACUCUCAAAAAACCCUAGAGCACUGCGUGUUUUGAAAUAUACAAAUAGUGGGAAACGAAAUCUUUGUUCUGGAUGCAGUUAUAAUUUGGAAAGCGAGGAAAUAAAUUAUAACAAGGGGAAAAAACAGGGUUGCCGUGAGGAGUAAAUGAGCUGUUGCAUGGGAAGCACUUAGCAUGGGGCCUGAUAAAUAGUAAGCCCUUGGUAAUAAUUACAUCUUCCGUGAUGCUAGACACAGAGGGAUUGAAAUGCAUAACAAUAGAGAUGAAACACGAAGAGUGAUAAAUGAAGAUUGAGUGUGCACACCUUCUGGAGGAGCCCUGAUUGAGUAUUUUAAAAUACUACUAAAGUCAUGCCGUGUGACUUCUGAAGCUAGCUCCUAAGAAGUCCUUGCAGCUUCUGCCUGCGACUCUUAGAACACUUGCUUUGAAGGAUGCCAGAUGCUGUCUUAAAAGUCUGAGCACUCUGAAACCAUCAUGCUGUGAGGAAGCCCAAGCUAACCACAUGGGCAAAAAAGAUGCCCUCUGACUGCCACCAUUUGAGACACUCUAAUUAAGAACUGCCUCAUUGAGCCCAUGAGGCCCUGUGAAUGAUAAUAAUAAAUUGUUUUUAACCACUAUGUUUUUGGAUUUGUUAUAAGUUUAUAGAUAACAAGAAAAAGUUAUAUUAGCAUGGUAAUAAAAUUAUGGAUAUGUGUAA